rnacentral:pre_miRNA from 1 species
GGCGCCAACCGCGUGAACACAAGCGUGAUACCGUGCUAGGCUGGACUCGGGCAUUAUGCUAGUGUUCGCGGGGCUGGUUGC